rnacentral:rRNA from 1 species
AUUGAACGCUGGCGGCAUGCCUUACACAUGCAAGUCGAACGGUAACAGGUCUUCGGAUGCUGACGAGUGGCGAACGGGUGAGUAAUACAUCGGAACGUGCCCGAUCGUGGGGGAUAACGAAGCGAAAGCUUUGCUAAUACCGCAUACGAUCUACGGAUGAAAGCAGGGGACCGCAAGGCCUUGCGCGAACGGAGCGGCCGAUGGCAGAUUAGGUAGUUGGUGGGAUAAAAGCUUACCAAGCCGACGAUCUGUAGCUGGUCUGAGAGGACGACCAGCCACACUGGGACUGAGACACGGCCCAGACUCCUACGGGAGGCAGCAGUGGGGAAUUUUGGACAAUGGGCGAAGGCCUGAUCCAGCCUUGCCGCGUGCAGGAUGAAGGCCUUCGGGCUGUAAACUGCUUUUGUACGGAACGAAAAGACUCUGGUUAAUACCUGGGGUCCAUGACGGUACCGUAAGAAUAAGCACCGGCUAACUACGUGCCAGCCGCCGCAGUAA